UACGUAGGGUGCAAGCGUUGUCCGGAAUUAUUGGGCGUAAAGAGCUUGUAGGCGGUUUGUCGCGUCUGCUGUGAAAUUUCGGGGCUCAACCCCGAACUUGCAGUGGGUACGGGCAGACUAGAGUGUGGUAGGGGAGACUGGAAUUCCUGGUGUAGCGGUGAAAUGCGCAGAUAUCAUUUGGAACGCCAAUGGUGAAAACAGGUAGCUGGGGCUGUACUGACACUGAGACACGAAAGCCAGGGGAGCAAACGGG
rnacentral:rRNA from 1 species